UUAUUGGUGGUAGGCGCCCAUCGGACCGUUGGAAGGUCCAUCCGGCAGCCGUACCAAAUAAGUCCACAAAAUUCGUUACAGACGUAGUCUUAAUAUUUGUAUUAUUAAAAUUUGUUUAGUAUUGUGAUUUCUUGCUACACUUUAGUGAUCAGUUUUUAGUACAUUUUUAUGACAUUGCGAAAUGGCUCCAAGCCCAAGAAAAACUCCAAAGUCUACUCCACAAGUUCAGCAUUGGAUGGUGAAAAUUUUUGACUUGCUAAGAUUGACAAUUCAAUUAUUGAAGCUCAUUCCUACUUUUUACUGUUACUUUAAUCUACUGAUAACUGAAGUGUUGUUAGGGUGCCUGAUAAUGUGCUUGAGUAAUAUUAGUUACAUCCAUCUCAACAGUAUUCCACAACAAUUAUUAUACUGCAUUUGUUUGGGCCUCUAAACUCUUUAAUACAUAAGCUGGAUUGACCAUCACAUACAACCCAACAGCUACUGUUUCUACUGAAUUGAGAAAAUAUUGCAAGUGUGUGUAUAUUAAUGUUUUUGUCAUAGCGUUAGACAUUUUAAUAUAAUAUAAUAUAUGGAAUAAGAGUGUUUGUGGCAAUUGCCUGCAUCAUAUUAGCUGUUAUAACGGGUCUCACACACCUGCAUUAGCAUUGAGAUUUAUGUAUUGAAGUGUUUGUCUAAAACUGCAACAUUUAAUUUUAAGAUAAGGCUGCAAAAAACUAAGCUUUAUUCUAAGCAGUCCUAAUUUUUUAAAAUAAAUCUGCAUAUGUUAUAUUUUUUUAUGUUAAUAGCCUAAUAAAUCAAAGUGAAUUUAAA